AAAUGUUCUACUUCUCUAAACAGAUUCUUGCAAACCAAGUUAUGUUGGCUUAGAAUGUUGCUUGUGAUGGUAUUAGGAACUUGAAUUGUCCUUUCCUUUUCCGUUAUGAAUUUGGUUUGAUGGUUUGAAUUUGCCUGAUUUAAUCAAAAAUUUUGUUCAAGUGUUUCGUGAUUCAGGUCAUUGAUCCCAAAAAAAACUCUUUUCCUUUAUUACUAUGCAUCAUUUCAUGCUCGAUAAUCCAACACUAUGAUCGUUGUACGGGAUUCUAUAUUAUCUUCUCUCAUUUUCAGUAUCAAAUACAAAAUUUUGAUCUACAUACUGCAUGUAGAUUGAUCAUCGCAAAUUCAUCUACAUCAAUGGAUUAGUACAUUUUGUGGUUCCUUGUACGGGGAACUCAUGACCUUGAUGGAAAGGUUAUCAACCAACAAGCUGCACUUCUUUAGAUAGAAAUCUGAUUAAUAAAGCAUCUAAAUUACAAUAAAGAUGUUUAUAGUAAAAGGCUUUGGCUGACAUACACAAUGCCAUGGGUUUGAGUCCUUUGCGGUCACUUUAUGGAAAAGAAAUACCAAAGGGUCGGUCUGUCCUCAGUCCGCCCCUUCUAGAACCUUGGAGUGCUUGGACCAUAACAGGGUAAUUGCCCUUUUCAUAUGACAUGGUUUGUAAUAUUAGCAUGGUGAAUUAAAUCAUAUAGGAAAAAAAGGAAUAGCCAAUUUAUCUUCAAACCUAAAAGGCCAUUAUCUAGUUAUGAUCUCGGCAAUCCGGGGUUUUGGGAGAGACAAACUGGAGACAGGCCUAAGCUUUGGCAUCUUUUUUGAACAAAGUGACUAGCCCAAGGCUUGAAUCCAUGAAUCGAAUUUGUGCCAUUGUCUUGUUGUCACAAGCCUUUUACCAUUGCAUCAAGCAUUGACCCUUUAAAUUGAUCUUCAAAGUGGACAUCAUAUAGAUUUCGCUGUGCUAGUUUCCUAAAGAUUGAAGAUUUAUGCCGCAAUGGAAUUGAACAUCCAACCAUCUAGAAAAUAGUGGUUGAUGAAUUGAGUCACACUUUCGUAUCCAUUUGACAUAAAUGCAAGCCGUUAGUUUCAUCUUGGUGGCAUAAUUGUCUGUUGACUUUCGUUCACUUUAGUGUAUAUCAUUCUGUCCUUUGAUAUAUUUGUCCUAAAUAAUCAUUUUCCUUUUCUUUCAUGUCAGAAUGGUAACUUUCUUUUUUCUUUUAACUUAUUCUAGGUUAAUUCAGCCCCAUGUGAAUCACUUGAGAGGACAAACAUUUUGAAGUCAGAGUUGGCAUCACUAUCAGAAAAAAAUGCAGAAUUAAAGAAGCAGGUUAGGGAGCUAACUAUGAAACUUCAAUUGGCUGAGCAAGGAAAAGAUCAGGCUCAGAAGCAGUUUCUAGCUUUAGGAGUCCAGCCUAAAGCAGGUCCUUUUGGAACUGUCAAGAGUUUGAGAACAAAUCCAAAUGUCAUUCCCGAUGAAUCUGUGAACCCAAGAUUGGCAAAGAUACUAGAAAAGGUGGCUGUUCAGAAAGAGCUUAUAGUUGCUCUAGCAAAUUCUAAUGUAAGGGAGAUGGUGGAGACAUGGUUUGAGAAUAUCAAAAAAGUGGGUAUACCUAAUUAUCUAGUUGUAGCAUUGGAUGAUGAGAUGGAAAAUUUCUGCAAAUCUAAGGAAGUUCCUGUUUACCGAAGAAAACCUGAUGAAGGCAUAGAUUCUGUUGGAAGGACUGGUGGGAACCAUGCAGUGUCCGGAUUGAAGUUCCGCAUUUUGAGAGAAUUUUUGCAGCUUGGUUACAGUAUUCUUCUCUCAGAUGUGGAUAUUAUCUACUUACAGAAUCCGUUUAAUCAUCUCCACAGAGAUUCUGAUGUGGAAUCCAUGAGUGACGGUCACAAUAACAUGACAGCUUAUGGUUAUGAUGAUGUCUUUGAUGAGCCUAAAAUGGGAUGGGCAAGAUAUGCUCAUACAAUGCGGAUUUGGGUUUACAAUUCUGGUUUUUUCUAUAUCAGACCCACAAUUCCUUCAAUUGAGCUUUUGGAUCGUGUAGCAAGCAGGUUAUCUCGCGAAAAUGCAUGGGACCAGCAGGUCUUUAAUGAAGAGCUUUUUUUCCCCUCACGCCCAGGAUAUGAUGGGCUUCACGCAUCAAGGAGAACCAUGGAUAUGUAUCUUUUUAUGAACAGCAAAGUUCUUUUCAAGACGGUGAGAAAAGAUGCUAAUCUGCGCAAGCUAAAGCCUGUGAUUGUUCAUGUGAAUUACCAUCCAGAUAAGCUCCGUAGAAUGAAAGCUGUUGUGGAGUUUUAUGUCAAUGGAAAUCAAAAUGCACUGGAUCCUUUCCCUGAUGGUUCAGAGUAGUAUAUGGUCUCUUGCUCAGGGUUUUCACGUUUGCAAAAGCACAGGUUUUAACUGUACCUUGUAGACGUUACUUCCUGUAGGUCUGUCUAAAAAGCUUGUUGAUUGUAGUUUUCAGAAGUCGCUACCCUUGAACUUCUUAUUGAGUGCUGCUACCAGAAAUGCUUUUUUAUAAUUUAAAUACAACCCUUUUUUUACGCUCUACACUGCACUUUUUUCCCCUGGCUAAUUUGAUUUUACCGCCAAGCAAGGAAUUUAUUUGAAAGAUUUGGAUUUUACUAGCUUUUUUAUGUUUAUUUACUUGUUAGUGUUGGUUGGUGGCAUUACCAUUGAAAUAUGGCACUACCUUAUCCUUGUUUUUCUCAUCUGUCUGUGUGGAAAUGGUUCAUUGACUUGUUGAAAGAUAUUUAGCAUGAUCAGUAGCUUAGUACGUUGUUUAUGGGGUCAAGAUUCAGUACUUGUUGAAGCUUAUGUUUUGAGGAUCUGUAUAGUGUCACGCAGAGUUAUAUAAAAGUGGCAUGAUUUAGGUCUACUGCAGAAGUGGAAGGAAAGUGAAAUUUCUGCCUUGGCUCCCUCUGCAAUACAAUCAUCUGACAAGUUUUCAGUGCAUGCAACACAUGUUGGGGGACAUCCAUCUGAAUCCUACAAAUGCAGAGCAAAUGGGUAGGCUAGAUGAGUAUAUAAGCUCACUUUGUUUUUUUGGUACAUUAUAAGCUCACUUUGUUUAUACCAUGCUGAUGUCAUUGUUAUUAUUUUGGUAUGGUACAUUAUAAGUUCUUAUGUGUCUGCUUCAAAUAUUCUGGAGGACAGCGAUUCGUAAUUUAGAAGAAUGAAACAAAUUGAUUUAGCUUUGAAUUCCCCAAAAGAACUUGUCUUAGCUUGCAAACAGUGGGUAAUGCUCAGGUGGGGAGUGAAAUAGUUCAUUUUCUAAUGUUAGUUUUAAUGUUCUUGUGCAUUUAGGCAUGUCCCGUUAAGAAAAGACAGUUUGGAUCCAAAGACAAAUAUAAUAAGGGUAGUUUUAAACAUGAGAAAGAUAAAAUGUAGGACAAUCUCCAGCUCCAAAUCCCAAUUAAGUAGAGUUUGCAAUGGCUUUAUCCCACUGUCUCACCCUUCCAUCUAAGAACCGGAGUCCCUGUAGUUGAAUCUUGGGUGGUGCAUCUUCUAUGAUAUUUGAACUUGGAUAAUUAUAUUCAGGUGGGUUUGCCUCCUUUACUUUAAAAGUAAUAACGUUGUUGCAACCAGUUUAGAUUUUUAUAGAUUUCCAAGGUAUUAAGAUUCUAUAAAAAGCCUCUGACAUUUGAAUAAAUUUUGGAGAUACAAGUUCCAUUUCCUAUAAAUCCUCUCCCUGUUAAUAUAUUGAUAGAGAGAGAUAUUUGCAAUCAUUAGCAACUUUAAUGGAAAAGCAUUCCUUAGGCAACUUCGGUUAUUGAAGAUGACAAAAUGAUUUUUAACCAAAAAAAAUGUAACAAAAUGAUUUUCCUUUCCCUUGGAUUUACCUUCUUUCUCAAAACUUUGGUUACCCUCCCUAUUCUCUCUUGGUCUAUUUUCUCAAAAUUUUGAACCCUGACUCCCAUGCAAAAAGAUCUGUCAGUGCAUAAAAAGUCUCUCUCGUUUUUCUCUUUUGAUGGAUAUAUGGUUUCUUUUUCCCCCCAAACUGAAGUUCUAGAGGCAUGAAUUCAUGGUGACCCUUUUCUUCUUGGUAUUACUUUCAUUCUUCAUCAUAUUGUAAUUACUUAGUUUCAAAUUUUUGGAGACACUCCAUUCAAAAGCCAAACCGAGAAGCUCUGCUUGCGAAGCAGAGGUGUGAAAUCUAAAACAAUCCUAGUUCACAUGAUCAUUAAAUCAGUAAUGAGACAAUUGCACCUGUGAAUACAGUUUACUCAUUAUAUGGACCCAAAAAUUCUGUGCAUGCCCUUCAUGGAUAAAGACUGCUGUGCACAGAUAUACAUGAUCAUUAAAUCAGUAAUGGAUAAAUUCUCUGGGCGCGGAUCCUCUACCAAAAAGGCAGACUGCUUUCUCUUACAAAUGUUGCAAAUAUAACAUCCGAAGGAUUCAAACAGAGACCACUAGUUCUGCAGUUUCUCAUUAAAUAUUAUUCUCUGCAAUUAAAAAAAAAAAUCCAUGAUAACAUCAAAAGCUAGCAUCUUUCUAGUACGGACAAUCUGGUAUACCUGAGACGCUUCAUACUACCAUGGAGUGGCCUAUGAUUAGCAGUAAUAUAAAGACUGGAGAAGAAAAUGCAGUAGGUUCAUCUGAUCUCAGUUGUUACUUUUUUAGCUUAUGUUGUAGGCUCAAAUAUAACACCCAUUAGCCUGGCCUAAAGACUCGUAGGUUCUUUCGCCGGUUGAUGUGAUAAUGAUCCCAGCAUACAAGUUUCCCACGAUUGCAAACUAAGGAGAGUCGGAUGUAUGCAACCUUACUUCUGCAUACAAAAAUGCUAUUUUCAUAUUUUGAACCUGUUAUACCUAAGUCAUUAUAGAGCAGUCUUACCAUUGUGCCAAUGCCAGCCCUCCAAUUUAUGUGAUAAUGACACUUAAUGUAUAACACCAGGCUAAUGCAAUCUUUUGCAAUUAUCAGUUACUGCACAGAAGUCUGUCAUCCUUAUUUCUUCAAAUUGAUAACUGGUUCCUGACACAAACAAGAAGUGAUGAUUAAAUCCCUAUAUCCUCUUGAGUAUAUUUACAGCAAUGCACUACAGGCUACCAAAGCAAAAUAAUGGGUCAAAAACCUGUGGAGAGGUACAUGUAUUCCAGCAGAUCAGAGAGUAAAAGACCCAGAGUACAAUGACAAAAGGAAAAGAGUUCUUCACCUAACUCUACGCUGAGCCAUUGAAGUUUAGCAACUUCGCAUUUGGCCAACUGAAUCCUGCCAAACUAUGAGGAAGAUGACUGCUGCUUUCAGCAUCAAUUGAAUGCAUGAAUGGCGAAUCACCACUAAUAAUGUCUUCAAGGGAAGAUUUUUACUCAGCUCCUUCUGUUUCAAGCAAAAAAAUGUUCAAUCAAUACCAUGUUAAAUUUAUAUUACGCAUGAUGGUCUGAACAUAGAUAAUAGAGCCAAUGCUCUGGAACCAAAGCUCAUGUGUUAAAGGCUUUGUUGAACAUAUGUUGUUCAACUUGAGGCACCGGGGGCAGCAGAAUGCAAACAUGUUGCAGAAAAUACUUCUUAAUGCCCCAAAAAAUUGAUUUUUUACCAACCAGGAGUUGGCCCAAAGUGGUUGGAAUCUCUCCUCUGUCAGAACUCAGGCGAGGUCACAUGCUUGAAUCAUAUUAAGAUGCAUCAAAAGUAAGAUUUUAAAUCCUGUGGAACAGAACUAUUCUGAUUUUCUCAUGAAAUCAGAUGCACCACCGUCCCACCUCAUCCCGACAUUUAGAACAAUAGAUGUCUCAAGAUAUCCUGAUCAGGACGCUGGGAUGCUGGUAACUGUUCUGAUUUUCUUAUGAAACGAGAUGUACCGCCAUCCCGCUUCAUCCCGACAUUUAGGACAAUGGAUGUCUCAAGACGUCCCGAUCAGAAUGCUGGAAUGCCGGUGAGACGGUUCUAUCCAGAAAUAUGAAAUAUACCCCAUCCCGAUGUCCCAUAAGAUGUUCCAUCAGGAUCUGAAUCCUUGAUAGAUUCGUUGGGUGGAGCAAUUUAAGAUGCUUAUGCCCAAUAUAGGGGCCCUAUAUUUAAACUUUCAAGCUUAAUUUCAUUGAAAAAAAUAAAAUAAAAGAUAAAAUUAUGAAUAAAACAAGAUAAUGUCGAGUGGAGAAAGAUGGAGUGGAGUUACUAGCUGCAAGUGAUGCAUUUUCUGAAUCCAGCUUCUUGCAGUCUACAUCAAAUUGUUCAAGCUCAUGUCCGAAGUGCACUGUUCUCUGUUCAGCAUAUCCACCCUCCUCACCAAACCCUGGCAUUCUUGCCGGUGAAAAAGAACAUACUCAAAUAUAUAUAAUCAAGUCCCAAAUUUUAUUAUAGGUCCCACAGAACCACUAAGCUAGAUACAAAAAUAACAUAAGAAUCAAAGAGCACCAAGCACCACCAUUAAAGAUUGAUUCAACAUUUAAUGAAUAGACGUUUAUUUAUGGCAUUUUCGUGGGUGCAUCCUUCCUCAACAUGGGAGGAGGCUCUGGGUUUGGGUCCUGGUGGUGGGGUCGACAGAGAGAGAGAGAGAGAGAGAGAGAGAGACAAGCACGAAUGCUAAAGCCAGUCUAAAUUGGAAAAAAGAAAAUAAUAAAACAAAAAGGUUGCAUGUGCUAGAAAAUACCAUGGUAAGAGGGAAGGGGGCGAGUCCGAAUCGGACUCUUCUUCCCCGAUGGAAGAAGACCGAUUUCGAGAAGGAAUCAAUCUAAAAAGAUCGCCCCAGACUUAGAUUCUAUGCCUAUUUAUAUCUAUCCCCAUUUUCCUUUCCCAACUCAGUUUCCGAUUCCCCACCGCUGAAUGUCAUUGGACCUUUUUCCCUUCCAAUUUGUUUGACUACUGUCAUUGUGUUUGAUGGAAAAAGCCACUGAAGCAUCACUGGAAUGAGGUAAAAAGCCCCCCAUCUUCUGAUCAACCCUUUUCCCCAUCUUUUUGACUCUUGGAAUUAUGAUUUCUGAUGAGUUAAUUGUCAGAUUGCGGUGGAGAUUUAGAUGCUCUGUUUUUUCUCCCAUGUUUGAUUUGAUUUUUGGCACUGUUUACCACUGCCGGAGUUCUUGGUUACCAUUGUGGUCUGCCCUUCCGGCCACGGCAUUGUUGGCUAGAGGAGACCUCUCCUGCCUCGAGAACAUGGGGAUAAAAGAGACGAAAAAAAAAAAAAAAAAAAAAAAAAAAAAAAANAAAAAAAAAAAAGAAAAGAAAGAAA
rnacentral:lncRNA from 1 species